rnacentral:rRNA from 1 species
AUGUAGUCGCACGCACGUCCUUCGGGAUGUGAGUGGCGAACGGCUGAGGAACACGUACGAACCUGCCCGACCGUGGGGAAUAACGCGCGGAAACGUGUGCUAAUACCGCGUACGCUGGAGUGAUCCAGGAAAGCCGUAAGGCGCGGACGGAGGGGCGUGCGGCCCAUCAGGUGGUUGGCGGGGUAACGGCCCACCAAGCCGGUGACGGGUAGCUGGUCUGUGAGGAUGAUCAGCCAGACUGGGACUGAGAAACGGCCCAGACACCUACGGGUGGCAGCAGCGAGGAAUCUUCCNCAAUGGGGCGCAAGCCCCGAUGGGAGCAACGCCGCGUGGAGGACGACGGCCCUUCGGGGUUGUAAACUCCUUUUCGGGGGGGGAUGAAAC